GACGAACGCUGGCGGCGUGCCUAAUACAUGCCAGUUGAGCGAUGAAGAUUGGUGCUUGCACCAAUUUGAAGAGCAGCGAGCGGGUGAGUAACGCGUGGGGAAUCUGCCUUUGAGCGGGGGACAACAUUUGGAAACGAAUGCUAAUACCGCAUAACAACUUUAAACAUAAGUUUUAAGUUUGAAAGAUGCAAUUGCAUCACUCAAAGAUGAUCCCGCGUUGUAUUAGCUAGUUGGUGAGGUAAAGGCUCACCAAGGCGAUGAUACAUAGCCGACCUGAGAGGGUGAUCGGCCACAACUGGACUGAGACACGGCCCAAACUCCUACGGGAAGCAGCAGUAGGGGAUCUUCGGCAAAGGACGGAAGUCUGACCGGGCAACGCCGCGUGAGUGAAGAAGGUUUUCGGAUCGUAAAACUCUGUUGAUAGAGAAGAACGUUGGUGAGAGUGGAAAGCUCAUCAAGUGACGGUAACUACCCAGAAAGGGACGGCUAACUACGUG
rnacentral:rRNA from 1 species